UCAAAAGGUAUUUUCAAAUCACUACAACAAGGAUUUUUGAGUUGCAGUUAGGCAAACGUCUUUUUGUUGGAAACCCCGUAGAUUCCGUUUCAGGGGCACGAGUGAGUGGGUGUUAAUAUCGACCUUGUGGCCAUGCAGAGCUGGAUAAGGAUCAAGUUUUGACGAUUUGUCGAGUAUUUAUUUGGCUAAAAAGGGAAGGAUUGAAUGCAGUGCAAAUAUUGCAAAUUUGAAAGCUUCAAUAAAGAGGCUCUCCUGAAGCACUUUCGACUUCGUCACGGUACAGGUGCAAACUGGCCCUGUAUUCACACAGACUGUGUGUGUGUAUUUAAAACACCUGGUGCAUUACGGUCACACUUCUCAAGAUCACACACAACUGUGAGAUUACAGGAAAACUCAACAUUUCAAUGUGACUUGUGUAAUUUUAGAGAAUUUUCCCUUAGGCGGAGAGAGGUAGUAGAGGGGCAGCCUAUGGUAUCCGAAGUCCAGCAGAGAUGGCCUGCACUGUUUUCCUGUGAAGAGAUAUCUGAAUAAUUUCAUCGCAUCACCAGCAAAGACCUCCUGAAGACUUUCAAUGAGUCCCUUGAGAAUGAUGUGCCUCGCCUGCUCAGAAAGGGAGCUUUUGGUCAGCAAAUAGAAGACUUCCUGGAUAAGCUUGAUGAACAGACAUCAGACAUUGUGUCUCACCGAAAGAUGACAGCACUGAGAUGCCUCCCCGUUUUUGUCCGGGACGACACAACUAAGUUUUUCCUGCAGCAUUUGAAAACUGGCCUGAAGAAAGAGUGCUCAGAGGCGUGUCUGUUGGCAUCCUUACAAUCCUUGAAGAAGAUGAUCCUGCUGUAUCACCCAACGUACGGGACUGGGCUGUUGUGUUGGAAGGUUCCAUCGUGCUACAUGACCUGCCAGACCUCGGUACCGCCUUUGCAUACCUCUUUGGCCUACUGUAUGUGUCAGAGGCCUUGACACUUUCCCAGGUAUUUUCUUUAAAAUGAAUAAAACA